UGCCAGCCGCCGCGGUAAUACGAAGGGGGCUAGCGUUGUUCGGAAUUAUUGGGCGUAAAGCGCGUGUAGGCGGUUCGUUAAGUCUGAUGUGAAAGCCCGGGGCUCAACCCCGGAAGUGCAUUGGAAACUGGCGAACUUGAGUACGGGAGAGGAAAGUGGAAUUCCGAGUGUAGGGGUGAAAUCCGUAGAUAUUCGGAGGAACACCAGUAGCGAAGGCGCUACUCUGGGCCGGUACUGACGCUGAGGAGCGAAAGCAUGGGGAGCGAACAGGAUUAGAUA
rnacentral:rRNA from 1 species